GACGAACCGUGCGAACGUUAUUCGGAAUCACUGGGCUUAAAGCGCGUGUAGGCGGGGUGGCACGUCGGUCGCUGAAAGCCCCCGGCUCAACCGGGGAAGGGGCGCCAAUACGACCACCCUGGAGGGACGUAGGGGGACCUGGAACUUCCGGUGGAGCGGUGAAAUGCGUUGAGAUCGGAAGGAACGCCCGUGGCGAAAGCGAGGUCCUGGACGUUUACUGACGCUGAGACGCGAAAGCCAGGGGAGCGAACGGG
rnacentral:rRNA from 1 species